rnacentral:lncRNA from 1 species
CAGUGGCGUAACGUUAUAUCAAGGGGCCCCCGGUUUAAAAUUUUCGAAGGCCCCCCUAGUAGAAGUGCCAAAGGUACGAGUCGAGCGCCGUAUAUGCACGAGUUUUCUAGGGGGUCCAGGGCAUGGUCAUCCGGAAAAUUUUUGAAUCUAGACUCUCUGAAAUGCCAUUUCCUGGACUUUGGGGAGAGAUUUUACAGAAUUC